GACGAACGCUGGCGGCGUGCUUAACACAUGCAAGUCGAACGGAAAGGCCCUGCUUUUGUGGGGUGCUCGAGUGGCGAACGGGUGAGUAACACGUGAGUAACCUGCCCUUGACUUUGGGAUAACUUCAGGAAACUGGGGCUAAUACCGGAUAGGAGCUCCUGCUGCAUGGUGGGGGUUGGAAAGUUUCGGCGGUCGGGGAUGGACUCGCGGCUUAUCAGCUUGUUGGUGGGGUAGUGGCUUACCAAGGCUUUGACGGGUAGCCGGCCUGAGAGGGUGACCGGCCACAUUGGGACUGAGAUACGGACCAGACUCCUACGGGAGGCAGCAGUGGGGAGUAUUGCACAGUGGGCGGAAGCCUGAUGCAGCAACGCCGCGUGCGGGAUGACGGCCUUCGGGUUGUAAACCGCUUUCGCCUGUGACGAAGCGUGAGUGACGGUAAUGGGUAAAGAAGCACCGGCUAACUACGUG
rnacentral:rRNA from 1 species